AACGAACGCUGGCGGCAUGCUUAACACAUGCAAGUCGAACGAGACCUUCGGGUCUAGUGGCGCACGGGUGAGUAGCGCGUGGGAACCUGCCCUGGAGUGGGGGAUAACCGAUGGAAACGUCGGCUAAUACCGCAUGCGCCGGAGAGAUCCGGGAAAGAUUUAUCGCUCUAGGAGGGGCCCGCGUCGGAUUAGCUUGUUGGUGGGUAACGGCCUACCAAGGCUAUGAUCCGUAGCGGUCUGAGAGGAUGAUCAGCCACACUGGGACUGAGACACGGCCCAGACUCCUACGGAGGCAGCAGUGGGAAUAUUGGACAAUGGGGCAACCCUGAUCCAGCAAUGCCGCGUGAGUGAGGAAGGCCUUCGGUUGU
rnacentral:rRNA from 1 species